ACGUAGUUAGCCGUGGCUUAUUCGACAGGUACCGUCUUCUGCUCUUCCCUGUCAAAAGAAGUUUACAACCCGAAAGCCUUCUUCCUUCACGCGGCGUUGCUGGGUCAGGCUUGCGCCCAUUGCCCAAUAUUCCCCACUGCUGCCUCCCGUAGGAGUCUGGGCCGUAUCUCAGUCCCAAUGUGGCCGGCCAACCUCUCAGUCCGGCUACUGAUCGUCGCCUUGGUAGGCCGUUACCCUACCAACUAGCUAAUCAGACGCGAGGCCAUCUCUCAGCGAUAAAUCUUUGGUACCAGUACCAUGCGAUACCCGUACGUUAUGCGGUAUUAGCAGUCGUUUCCAACUGUUGUCCCCCUCUGAAAGGCAGGUUCCUCACGCGUUACUCACCCGUCCGCCACUAAGUAGUCCUCUCCAUUGACCGAAAUCUCUUUCGAGGGUACUCCGUUCGACUUGCAUGUGUUAAGCACGCCGCCAGCGUUCGUCGUGAGCCAGGUCAAACUCU
rnacentral:rRNA from 1 species